AAUCCGAAAGAAGCCUGGGUGCGGAAGGCGGUGCUUUCCCGACCGGAAGUGACGUCUAUGCUUGGCUGGCCGCGGUGUCCGCCGAAGCUCUCGGCAGCGGCUGAGGCGACUGAGUGGAAAAUGGCUCGGAUUUUUGCGGCUGUGGCGCCUUGGGUUGUGGUGGAGGCAGAGGCUCAGGCAGCGUGAGGAGUUAUUUAAUCCAGGAUUUGAAUCCUUGGAUGCUCAGUCACUCAGUCGUUGUCCUGCUGUUUGCCACCCCAUGGACUAUAUAGCCAGCCAGGCUCCUCUGUCCCUGGAAUUUUCCAGGCAAGAAUACUGGACACCUAGAACAGUGCCUGGUGUUGAACAUACACCUGCUGCUACUGCUGCUGCUGCUAAGUCGCUUCAGUCGUGUCCGACUCUGUGUGACCCCAUAGACGGCAGCCCACCAGGCUCCCCUAUCCCUGGGAUUCUCCAGGCAAGAACACUGGAGUGGGUUGCCAUUUCCUUCUCCAGUGCAUGAAAGUGAAAAGUGAAAGUGAAGUCGCUCAGUCAUGUCCGACCCUCAGCGACCGCAUGGACUGCAGCCUACCAGGCUCCUCCAUCCAUGGGAUUUUCCAGGCAAGAGUACUGGAGUGGGGUGCCAUUGCGUUCUCCUAACAUACACCUAGUGAAUAUUUAUUGAAAAGAUGAAUAAAUUCAGUGGUGCUUGAAUGACAAAUAAAAGUUAUUUUUUUAAAAUACGUAUUUGAAUAUUCUCUCAUGACUUCUAGGUUUUUUAAUCAUAUUA
ensembl:lncRNA